AUUUAAAUCUGGAUCAGUGUGGGUGUAACGCCUGAACCUGUAGCUGAUUGUUUACCGUAUAUGGAGAUGAUAUUCAGCUGUUUACUUCAGACACAACCUCUCUCUGUAGGAGGAUAUAAAACAGCAGAUGAUUACAUUUCUAAUUCUUCAGAUUUGCAUCGUGUCAGAGUUCUGCUCUUCUCCUUCAGACUUUGCGCAGUUUAGCUUUUACAUUUCUACAUUUAAUCCUUUUUACUGAAAGAAAACCAGAGGACUGAAGGACAGAAGUUCUUCUGUUUUUGGAUCUUUGCGCCUGAAACUUUUCUGCACCAACUCUUCGACAACCAUGAAGAUCUCUAUCAUUGCCGGUGUGCUGCUGCUUUCUGCUGCCGUGAUCUCUCUGGAUGUCGUGAGAGAAGAAAAAACUCUGGCUGAAAAGUUUAUAAAUCAGCAUAUCAACGAGGAGAUGAACAGUAACAACUGCACCAAGGUGAUGAGUGACAGAGGAAUCACGGACUACAACGGCAACUGUAAGCUGAUGAAUACCUUCAUCGGAGCGCCUAUCGGAACCGUCAGAGACAUCUGUGGGACUGGAGGACAGAAAUACUUUAAUAAAAAGAAA